rnacentral:lncRNA from 1 species
AUUUAUUGGGCUUUGCUCUAUUGGGGCACGACAAAUGGUUUGGAUCCUUGUCCCGUCCAAUUAUUAAUGUGAAAAAUAAGCUUCGUUGAUCUGUGUGAUUUUUUAAAGGUGUUCCUUAAAAAAAAGACUGGAGGGUGUAAAAAUAAGAGGAGCAAAUGAAAUUAACCGAUGAAAUAUAUGUGAGAAAGAUGAGGGUUUUGUUUCGGUCUUGUUCUAGUUCUACGAAAAUGAAAGUUCAACCAUGAGGAUUUUUGUUUCACUGCAAUUAGGAAUGACCAAUCUCCGUCGGGGAACCUCUAGGGCACACAAGGUGGGUUCUCCCCUCUCAACCGAAUUUUCUCCAUACACAUGAGCCAAAAAUUGAACUUCUGACCACAUACUUUAGGAGACCAAGACCCUCACCACUUAGACCAAUUCAUUGAUGGUAACCAUGAGGAUUUUAUCAUAGCAAAGCAAACACAAAAAGGAGAAUUAAUUACACAAUAAUAAAAUAUUUAGUAUGAGAUAUCGAUUUUAUUUUACUAUUGAUAUUGAAUUAUUCAUGCUUUUUAUAUAGUAUAUGACUACGAAUUUAGAAUUCGUUCAUGCUUUUAAUAAUAUGAGUAGAAUUAAGAGAUUAAAAGGGGCCAAGAGAUUGGACUUCAUUUAUUUUUUUUAAAUUGUCUUGAAUAUAGAAUUUCCAUUAUCAUGGUUAAAACCUUAAUUAAUUACCAGAUAUGAAAAAUGAGAGGAAUCGAAAAAAUUUCUAAUCAUCUUUUAAUUUGUUAUUUUAAAAUUUCAUAAUUUUCUUCAUGUUUUUGAUAAUAUGAGUAGAAUUGAGACAUUAAAAGGGGGUCUUGAGCUAAGAGAUUGGACAUGAUCUAUUUUUUUUUAAAUCGCUGCGAAUAUAGAAUUUCAAUUGUCAUGGUUAAAACCUAUUACCAGAUAUGAAAAAUGAGAGGAAUUGUAAAAAAAAAUAAAAAUACUGAAAAAAUUACAUGGGAAGAACCACAAAGUGGAUACUCACCAAAUUGAUGUAUUUUUUUUUUAUAUAAAACCCCAAAUUUAUGUAUGAUUUCUAUCAUCUGGAAUACGGAAAAGGAUUUCUUGCAGUAACAACAAAAUGGAGUAAUUCUACAAAAAAAAAACAAACUGGAGUAAUAAAUCUGCUUGAUUUAAUUUUAACGGCUGAAAUUGUUUCACUGAAAAUUGAACUUGUAAUGUAAAUUAUUCGAUCUAAAAUCGAAGUCUAAGAUUAAAAAUUGUAUGUAAUUACGUGUGAUAAUUACACCAUUGAAUCAUUAUGUGGAAUACCUUGCAUUUUUAAUGGGAAAAAAAUGUUACAUUCUAUGCUCCUAGUUUCCUAGUUUAUUUUAAUUAUGAGCAAAAAUCUAUUUUGAUCUUUCAUAAAUUUCAGACGUAACAAUUCAGUGUGUAACUACUUGUAAUAAUUACAAUUGUCAAUCAUAAUCCUGUGGAAUACUGCAUUCUGAAUGGAAAAAAAUGUAACAUUUUAUUCUCCUAGUUUCCAACAAAAAUAAAAUUCAAAUGUUUAAUUUAUUUAUGAAUGAAAACCUAUAUGUUUUUCACAAAUUUCAGAGGUAAUAAUUCAGUUUCCAACAAAAAUAAAAUUCAAAUUAGUCUCUGACAAUUUUGUACGGAAUAAAUUAAUUCUUUUAUUAUAAAAGAAUCAAAGACUUGAUCGUUGUGUGGACGGAAAGAAAUCACGGAUUGUUUAGAGGCUCAACAAGUACUCUUCAUCAAUUGUUGGACAAGAUCAAGCUUUUUUCCUACAGGUGGUUGAAGCCGACGGGUGUUACUUUAGCUUCAAACUACCAUAACUAGUGGUCUAGUCCAUUACUUUGUUUGGGCCUUGUACGAUUUUCUUUCUGUUUUUUUCUUUGACUCGUUGUAAAUUUUGGUAGUCCACUUCGGUACAUCUUGUGUUGAGGGGACUAUUUUUGUUAAUAUAUAUGUCAUUGUAGCUUGUUAAAAAUAAAAAAAUUUAGAGAGUAAUUUAGAUAUUAAAUUUAUUAGGGACUAAAUUAUCUAUUUGUGUGAAUAUAAAAAGGGUCUUCACGAUGUACCAAAAAAAACGGUCUUCACCGAGCAAAUUUCCGUUUGGCCUAGCUUUUUUUUGAGCUUAUGCAAAUAGCUUAUGCAAUAUAAAUUAAGUUUUAUGUUAUUUUAUAAGUUCACANNNNNNNNNNNNNNNNNNNNNNNNNNNNNNNNNNNGUGAAUCAAAUUAUCAAACCUUAUCACCUCACCACAUGCAUACGGAUCUAAUGAUUAUGGCUUCAUCAAGAAUCGAAGGCAUCUACUAUUUAUAAUACACAAAGAUUAGAAGUGAGAAAAAUAUUGAUAUUUCUUUAUAUAAAAUUUAAAAACAAUGUAUACGAUUAUACCUUCUUCAUAAAAAUUAUGGAUAUGCAAAAAAUGUUUAUUUAUUUAUUUUGUUUAUCAGAAUUAGUAUGUAUUUUUAUUUGUUAAAUCAUAGUUUAUUAAUUAUAACAUGGACUCAAGUACGUUUAUGAACUUCAAUUAAAGAUAAAUGUUUGAUUUAACUAUUAACUACUUACCUCAUCACCAAAUUUGGAUUACUGAUCCCUUUACAAUUUAAACUGGAGAUCAAGACAAAACAAAUAAAGUUUAUUAAUGACAUCAUUCAAAUGAUUAUUUGUUUAACGAUGAUGGUUUUUCAAAAUUGAAAAGAUCUGAACUUCAAAGAAAUUAACACAAACUCACCAAAUUAGAGGAAAGGCCAAGAUAAUGAAUUUGAUGGCAGCUUCUUAAUUCUUUCAUGGUGUUGUGAAAGCAUUGGGCAGCUUUGCACCAGGUGAGAGCGACAUGUAUCAUAGGGUCGAGCAAAAAGAACAACCACACCAUAUAAGAAAUGGUGGUUUUCUAAUUAAGCCGCGAUCAACUGAUACGUGUUUCUCUCACCCGGAGUAAAAGUGACCAUUGAAAAUAUUGAAAUUUGUAAGUUUUUUUUUUCUUCUUUUUUCUUCUAAGUUUCUAAGCGUUGCCUGUUCUAUACUUAUAGUACUUGUUUGUUGAUUGGCUUUGGUUUUAUAGGAAUUAUUUAAUUUAAUAUUGUUCACGGGUCGUUUUGUAAGUCUUGU